UACGGAGGGUGCGAGCGUUAAUCGGAAUUACUGGGCGUAAAGCGCAUGCAGGUGGUGAGUUAAGUCAGAUGUGAAAGCCCGGGGCUCAACCUCGGAAUAGCAUUUGAAACUGGCUGACUAGAGUACUGUAGAGGGGGGUAGAAUUUCAGGUGUAGCGGUGAAAUGCGUAGAGAUCUGAAGGAAUACCGGUGGCGAAGGCGGCCCCCUGGACAGAUACUGACACUCAGAUGCGAAAGCGUGGGGAGCAAACAGGAUUAGAUACCCUGGUAGUCCACGCCGUAAACGAUGUCUACUUGGAGGCUGUUCCCUUGAGGAGUGGCUUUCGGAGCUAACGCGUUAAGUAGACCGCCUGGGGAGUACGGUCGCAAGAUUAAA
rnacentral:rRNA from 1 species